UCAGAUCAACUACCGUAGCCGCUAGCACAAUAUUCCUUUCUUACUUCAUCAUGUCUGUUGUGAGCUGGUAGCUGCACAAGUUCGUCGAUCGCGUUUAAAGUUAUACCAACGAAACACGUAAUUAGGGAACAAUAUAAGGGAGGAGGUAUCGUAAUCUGGACAAUGUGGCAAUGCGAAUAUUGCAUGGAUAAGAAUUUGGAAGUGGCGGCAGGUUUAAGGAUUAUUAUAAUUUGUACCAAAGGCAAAACACCCUGAACGCUAUGACGAUUCGAAAACACAGCCCUUACUGUCCGAACUUUCUCAUGUGAUUUGAAGGGCCGUUUUCAUCUUCUCAGAACCAGUCUCGGGAGGUGUUAAGAAAAAGAUUCGGGCAUCAUCAACGCGUUACAAGAUCAACAAGUAGUCAAGAAUACCUCAUGAAACAAGAUUCUCUUGAUAACCAUCACAAGCAAUAAUUUAGUUGUGCACAGUAACAUUGUGUUACCUCCACCAAGCUACGUAAAUUGUAUUGAAUAUGUUGCGAUUGCAUGCCAAUUUACAUUUGAAAAUGUUAAUCUGUUAUAAAAAUGUAAAAAUAUAUAAUGGAGUGAUUGAUUUAUAAUAAUUCACCGGUUCAAGAGUUGCCGCCCAAUUUUACUGUUGGUAAAAAAAAAAGUGAAAACUCUUCACAACAAAAUCUCACAGCAUCUGCUGUGAAAAUUGGAAAUCUACACAAAAUAAAUGAAUCCACUGUCACCGUUUCGACUAUUCGCCGAAAUAGUUUGGCGCAUCCAGAGAUUAACGACAGCACAGCAUAUUCAAAAUCAAUAAAAAUGAAGAGGAAUGGUUAUUCCAUACAGAGAUGUUGAUUAUGGAACCGUAUGUGUUUCGCAAUAAGACUUUAUUAGCGUUGCUUUGCUCUUCAUACGAGAUUCUCACGUGCGCGAUGAGGACAACCGACUCUGUCAGCUUGUGUUCAGGACAGAGGUCGAACUGAGUAGAUUUCUGGCUAACUGCUCAUGAGACACAGAGUUGGUUACAUCCAUCCAGAGAUGAUUAACGUCAGAUCUGAAUCAAAUGAUGAAUCAUACGCGAUGCUUAAUCGAAAUGCUAUUCCCAAUCAAUAAAAAUAAACAGGAAUGAUUAUUCCAUACUACAGGAUUAAUGAUUUUUUAAGGAAUCGUGUGUGUUUUACAUAAAAGAUUACUAUUUUCUGAGGGUUGUUUUGUGCUCCAUCUAACAGAUUCUCAAGUGACUAUAACGACAACCGGCUCUGUCAGCUUGUGUUCAGGACAGAGAUCGAACUGAGUAGAUUUCUGGCUAACUGCUCAUGAGACACAGAGUUGGUUAUAUCCAUCCAGAGAUGAUUAACGUCAGACCAGAAUCAAAUGAAGAAUCAUACGCGAUGCUUAAUCGAAAUGCUAUUUCCAAUCAAUCAAAAUAAACAGGAAUGAUUAUUCCAUACCACAGGAUUAAUGAUUUUUUAAGGAAUCGUGUGUGUUUUACAAAAAAGAUCACUAUUUUCUGAGGGUUGUUUUGUGCUCCAUUAGUUUGUCUGCUCCAUCUAACAGUUUCUCAAGUGACUAUAACGACAACCGGCUCUGUCAGCUUGUGUUCAGGACAGAGAUCGAACUGAGUAGAUUUCUGGCUAACUGCUCAUGAGACACAGAGUUGGUUACAUCCAUCCAGAGAUGAUUAACGUCAGCCAGAAUCAAAUGAAGAAUCAUACGCGAUGCUUACUCGAAAUGAUAUUUCCAAUCAUCCAUAUAAACAGGAGUGAUUAUUCCAUAUCACAGGAUUAAUGAUUUUUUAAGGAAUCUUGUGUGUUUUACAAAAAAAGAUCACUAUUUUCUGAGGGUUGUUUUCUGCUCCAUUAGUUUGUCUGCUCCAUCUAACAGUUUCUCAAGUGACUAUAACGACAACCGGCUCUGUCAGCUUGUGUUCAGGACAGAGAUCGAACUGAGUAGAUUUCUGGCUAACUGCUCAUGAGACACAGAGUUGGU